UAGGGAAUUUUCCACAAUGGGCGAAAGCCUGAUGGAGCAACGCCGCGUGCAGGAUGAAGGCCUUAGGGUUGUAAACUGCUUUUAAUAGUGAAGAUUAUGACAGUAACUAUUGAAUAAGGAUCUGCUAACUACGUGCCAGCAGCCGCGGUCAUACGUAGGAUCCAAGCGUUAUCCGGAAUUACUGGGCGUAAAGAGUUGCGUAGGUGGCAUAGAAAGCGAAUAGUGAAAGCGUACGGCUCAACCGUAUAUCCAUUAUUUGAACUACUAAGCUAGAGAAUGAGAGAGGUAGAUGGAAUUCCUGAUGUAGGGGUAAUAUCCGUAGAUAUCAGGAGGAACACCGAUGGCGUAAGCAGUCUACUGGCUCAUUUCUGACACUAAGGCACGAAAGCGUGGGGAGCAAACGGGAUUAGAUACCCCUGUAGUCC
rnacentral:rRNA from 1 species